rnacentral:rRNA from 1 species
GGUCGUCGUACGCGUAGUCAGAGAGUACGUGCUCGCGCACGGACGACGCUGGCGGCGUGCGUUAACACAUGCAAGUCGAACGAUGAAGCCCAGCUUGCUGGGUGGAUUAGUGGCGAACGGGUGAGUAACACGUGAGCAACGUGCCCAUAACUCUGGGAUAACCUCCGGAAACGGUGGCUAAUACUGGAUAUCUAACACGAUCGCAUGGUCUGUGUUUGGAAAGAGUUUUUUGGUUAUGGAUCGGCUCACGGCCUAUCAGCUUGUUGGUGAGGUAAUGGCUCACCAAGGCGACGACGGGUAGCCGGCCUGAGAGGGUGACCGGCCACACUGGGACUGAGACACGGCCCAGACUCCUACGGGAGGCAGCAGUGGGGAAUAUUGCACAAUGGGCGAAAGCCUGACGCAGCAACGCCGCGUGAGGGAUGACGGCCUUCGGGUUGUAAACCUCCUUUAGUAGGGAAGAAGCGAAAGUGACGGUACCUGCAGAAAAAGCACCGGCUAACUACGUG